UUAAAAUACCGGUUCUCGUACGAUUGUUGAAGUUAAGCAACAUCGAGCUUGGUCACUACCUGGAUGGUUGACCGCUUGGGAAUAUCAGGUACUGUAAG